CUGAGUACGGCGGAACACGUGAAAUUCCGUCGGAAUCCGGGAGGACCAUCUCCCAAGGCUAAAUACUCCCUAGUGACCGAUAGUGAACCAGUACCGUGAGGGAAAGGUGAAAAGCACCCCGGAAGGGGAGUGAAACAGUUCCUGAAACCGUGUGCCUACAAGUAGUUAGAGCCCGUUAAUGGGUGAUAGCGUGCCUUUUGUAGAAUGAACCGGCGAGUUACGAUUUGUUGCAAGGUUAAGCGGAAAAAGCGGAGCCGUAGCGAAAGCGAGUCUGAAUAGGGCGCAUAAGUAACAGGUCGUAGACCCGAAACCAGGUGAUCUACCCAUGUCCAGGAUGAAGGUAAGGUAAUACUUACUGGAGGUCCGAACCCACGCACGUUGAAAAGUGCGGGGAUGAGGUGUGGGUAGCGGAGAAAUUCCAAUCGAACUUGGAGAUAGCUGGUUCUCUCCGAAAUAGCUUUAGGGCUAGCCUCGAGGUAAAGAGUCAUGGAGGUAGAGCACUGUUUGGACUAGGGGCCCUUCUCGGGUUACCGAAUUCAGAUAAACUCCGAAUGCCAUGUACUUAUACUCGGGAGUCAGACUGCGAGUGAUAAGAUCCGUAGUCGAAAGGGAAACAGCCCAGACCACCAGUUAAGGUCCCCAAAUAUAUGUUAAGUGGAAAAGGAUGUGGGGUUGCUUAGACAACCAGGAUGUUGGCUUAGAAGCAGCCACCAUUGAAAGAGUGCGUAAUAGCUCACUGGUCGAGUGACCCCGCGCCGAAAAUGUACCGGGGCUAAACAUAUUACCGAAACUGUGGAUGAACCUCUUUAGAGGUUCGUGGUAGGAGAGCGUUCUAAGGGCGGUGAAGUCAGACCGGAAGGACUGGUGGAGCGCUUAGAAGUGAGAAUGCCGGUAUGAGUAGCGAAAGAAGGGUGAGAAUCCCUUCCACCGAAUAUCUAAGGUUUCCUGAGGAAGGCUCGUCCGCUCAGGGUUAGUCGGGACCUAAGCCGAGGCCGAUAGGCGUAGGCGAUGGACAACAGGUAGAGAUUCCUGUACCAGUGCUAAUUGUUUAACCGAUGGGGUGACACAGAAGGAUAGGGAAUCGCACGAAUGGAAAUGUGCGUCCAAGCAGUGAGUGUGAGAAGUAGGCAAAUCCGCUUCUCGCGAAGCAUGAGCUGUGAUGGGGAAGGAAAUUAAGUACGGAAGUUCCUGAUUUCACGCUGUCAAGAAAAGCCUCUAGGAAGAGUAGUACUGCCCGUACCGCAAACCGACACAGGUAGAUGAGGAGAGAAUCCUAAGGUGAGCGAGAGAACUCUCGUUAAGGAACUCGGCAAAAUGACCCCGUAACUUCGGGAGAAGGGGUGCUCUAUUAGGGUGCAAGCCCGAGAGAGCCGCAGUGAAUAGGCCCAGGCGACUGUUUAGCAAAAACACAGGUCUCUGCAAAACCGUAAGGUGACGUAUAGGGGCUGACGCCUGCCCGGUGCUGGAAGGUUAAGAGGAGUGCUUAGCUUCGGCGAAGGUACGAAUUGAAGCCCCAGUAAACGGCGGCCGUAACUAUAACGGUCCUAAGGUAGCGAAAUUCCUUGUCGGGUAAGUUCCGACCCGCACGAAAGGCGCAACGAUCUGGGCACUGUCUCAACGAGAGACUCGGUGAAAUUAUAGUACCUGUGAAGAUGCAGGUUACCCGCGACAGGACGGAAAGACCCCGUGGAGCUUUACUGCAACCUGAUAUGGAAUGUUUGUACCGCUUGUACAGGAUAGGUAGGAGCCGAAGAGACGUGUGCGCUAGCAUACGAGGAGGCAAUGGUGGGAUACUACCCUGGCUGUAUGACCAUUCUAACCCGCCACGCUUAGCGCGUGGGGAGACAGUGUCAGGUGGGCAGUUUGACUGGGGCGGUCGCCUCCUAAAGAGUAACGGAGGCGCCCAAAGGUUCCCUCAGAAUGGAUGGAAAUCAUUCGCAGAGUGUAAAGGCACAAGGGAGCUUGACUGCGAGACUGACAAGUC
rnacentral:rRNA from 1 species